rnacentral:rRNA from 1 species
GAUGAACGCUGACAGAAUGCUUAACACAUGCAAGUCGACUCGAGUCUUUGGACUUGGGUGGCGGACGGGUGAGUAACGCGUAAAGAACUUGCCUCAUAGUCUGGGACAACAUUUGGAAACGGAUGCUAAUACCGGAUAUUAUGCUUUCUUCGCAUGGAGGAAGUAUGAAAGCUAUAUGCGCUAUGAGAGAGCUUUGCGUCCCAUUAGCUAGUUGGUGAGGUAACGGCCCACCAAGGCGAUGAUGGGUAGCCGGCCUGAGAGGGUGAACGGCCACAAGGGGACUGAGACACGGCCCUUACUCCUACGGGAGGCAGCAGUGGGGAAUAUUGGACAAUGGACCAAAAGUCUGAUCCAGCAAUUCUGUGUGCACGAUGACGUUUUUCGGAAUGUAAAGUGCUUUCAGUCGGGAAGAAGCAAGUGACGGUACCGACAGAAGGAGCGACGGCUAAAUACGUGCCAGCAGCCGCGGUAAUACGUAUGUCGCAAGCGUUAUCCGGAUUUAUUGGGCGUAAAGCGCGUCUAGGCGGCAAGGAAAGUCUGAUGUGAAAAUGCGGGGCUCAACUCCGUAUUGCGUUGGAAACUGCCUUACUAGAGUACUGGAGAGGUAGGCGGAACUACAAGUGUAGAGGUGAAAUUCGUAGAUAUUUGUAGGAAUGCCGAUGGGGAAGCCAGCCUACUGGACAGAUACUGACGCUAAAGCGCGAAAGCGUGGGUAGCAAACAGG